CCAUCUAAGAAAAAAAUAGUAGUAUUCCUACCUUUCCUUUCACCUUUCCCAACUCUGUCUUCUCAUCUAUAUUUCUGUUCUGUCAAAUCGUUAAUAUUUACUGAGCCCAGUUACCCCGUGCAUGACAGUCCAGCAGACAACUGUGCCACUGAGCCCAGAGCCCAGUGAGGACGUAAAGGGGGAGACUCAGGUCUGGGAGUUAGGAAAAUUCCGGUGGUCCCUAGGAACUAUAGCAACACAUGCUGAAAAGUCACAAAGGGAGAAGAGCAGUGGAUGAAGAACAGAAUCUUGGAGAACAUCAAGAUUCCCUAGCAGACCCAUGAAGAGGAUCAAAGGAGACAGAGGCUAGAGAGCAACUGUAAGAAGCACCAAAGGUGAUUUUGAUACACGUCGAGUUUGAAAACUAGUGUUCUACAUGAAGACUCUGAUUCAGAUGCCUGGAGUGAGGGCUGUAUCAGGAGAUGGGUCCUGAUGAGUACGAAGAGAUGGAAGAGGAAGAAGAGGAGGAGGAGGAGGAAGACGACGAUGAUGAUUCGGCAGACAUGGACGAAUCGGAUAAAGAGGAGGAGGAGGAGAGGCGGAGAAGAGUCUUCGAUGUUCCUAUUCGCAGACGCCGCUGCUCUCGUCUGCUUUAGCCAGGCUACUGCUGAGGGAAGCACUGGGAUGACUCAGCUUGUUAAAGAGAUUUCGUAAUGUAAAUAACUACACUGUGCUCAGCAUAUAGCAGGGGACUAGCAUGAAAUAUUGUCUCUGGCCCGGGGCCCUGGGCGACACUACAUUAGGAGUUGAAUUUGUUCGGUUUGCUUU